rnacentral:rRNA from 1 species
AAAAUGAGGGGGAAUUCUGCCUUACCGGCGUCUGACUGGAUUAAACUCUGUCUACGCUCCACCCGUUGUGGUGCUCCCCCGCCAAUUCCUUUAAGUUUCAGCCUUGCGGCCGUACUUCCCAGGUGGCUCGCUUCACGGCUUCCCUACGGCACCGACAACGGUCGCACCGUGGCCGACACCUAGCGAGUAUCGUUUACGGCUAGGACUACCCGGGUAUCUAAUCCGGUUCGUGCCCCUAGCUUUCGUCCCUUGCCGUCAGGUCCGUUCUGGUGAGACGCCUUCGCCACUGGUGGUCCUUCAAGGAUUACAAGAUUUCACCCCUACCCCUGAAGUACCUCUCACCUCUCCCGGCCUCGAGCCGAACAGUAUCUCCUGAAAGCCCAACAGUUGAGCUGCUGGAUUUCUCAAGAGACUUAUCCGGCCGGCUACAGGCCCUUUAGACCCAAUAAUAACGGUUACCACUCGAGCCGCCGGUGUUACCGCGCGGCUGGCACCGGUCUUGCCCGGCCUUGCUAUGCAAUGCUUUUAGGCAUCACGACAGCAGAUUUGUAACCUGCACUCGAGGUCCCUAUCGCCGUUGCCGCAUGUAAGUUUCGG